rnacentral:tRNA from 1 species
AUUUAUAUAGUAUAAUUAAUUAUUACCUUUGACUUCCAAUCAAAAAAUCUACAGGAUUAGUAUAAAUA